rnacentral:misc_RNA from 1 species
UUAUAUAGUAUUUUGCUACGCACGCCACUUGCUCGUUAAAUUGCCUAUGUUACUAACCAUGAAUGUCCUACCUGAGCGCGUAUUAUUAAAAGCAAUCCAAAAUGCCAAUACCAGUAACCCUAAAUCAUGCCAUCUGUUCGAAAUGUCACAGAAUCAAAUAUUCAUAAAUCACGCUGAUUAGAACAUAAAAAGGUAACAAUUGUAAGAUCACCCUAAGAUUGUUCUGUUUCUUUAGGCUUUAUCUAAUAUAUAUUGUUAGCGGUAAGGUGCCUACAUCUAUUACUUGUAUGGGGCUUUGGUUGCACUCGGCAAUUGGCAAGGCGUGGUAGCCUCCAGUUUUUAUCUAGUAGUAAUAUUAUAUUCUAGUUUUUAUAAUCGUCUCUGUAGAAAUAAAACCUAAUAAUUGUUCAUGCCAAUGCUGAUUGCUGCAGAGAUGAAGCUUGGUCGAGACCAUGCUGGAGCAACAGUUGAGGUUCCAUCUGAAGAGAUUCUUCGGAAGUCUGUGUAAGGAAGAAUGUCUUUAAUAAUACGAAUUACGAAGUAGUUUGUAUAAUGAUGUAUGUUUGAUGACUGGCCCUAGCGCUAUAUUUUCAACAACGUUCUGUUAUGAGCUCCCUGUGAAAGACUAUCCUGUUCUGAGUUCCAUCAAUUACUCUGCUAACAUUUUCUUUAUUUGGUGGAAAUCCAUUUGCGUGCCAAUAUCUUCUGUACUAGAAACAUUAUCAUUGUUAAAAUAACUUGUCACAAGUGUUUUUGCCUUG